rnacentral:rRNA from 1 species
GAUGAACGCUGGCGGCGUGCCUAAUACAUGCAAGUCGAGCGAACGGACGAGAAGCUUGCUUCUCUGAUGUUAGCGGCGGACGGGUGAGUAACACGUGGAUAACCUACCUAUAAGAAUGGGAUAACUUCGGGAAACCGGAGCUAAUACCGGAUAAUAUUUUGAACCGCAUGGUUCAAAAGUGAAAGACGGUCUUGCUGUCACUUAUAGAUGGAUCCGCGCUGCAUUAGCUAGUUGGUAAGGUAACGGCUUACCAAGGCAACGAUGCAUAGCCGACCUGAGAGGGUGAUCGGCCACACUGGAACUGAGACACGGUCCAGACUCCUACGGGAGGCAGCAGUAGGGAAUCUUCCGCAAUGGGCGAAAGCCUGACGGAGCAACGCCGCGUGAGUGAUGAAGGUCUUCGGAUCGUAAAACUCUGUUAGUAGGGAAGAACAUAUGUGUAAGUAACUGUGCACAUCUUGACGGUACCUAAUCAGAAAGCAACGGCUAACUACGUG